AAGCCAUUCCUGACCUCCAUCCUAACCACCUGCUCACACACUAUAAGAUUGAGAGAUGUCCAGCAAAGAGGGUCCUGUGCUACAACAAAAUGGUUGAUGUCUGAAGUUUAGUACAGGUGACAGCAAAAAAGGGACAUCCUCAGGGAGCAGGGGAACGGCGCUGUGAGAUCCCAAGCCUGCUGGUCAGGAAGCACAUUCCAGUCCUAAAGCUCCGCUCUUGGCAGCAGGCCAUUGAUACCUCCUCUGAUCCUCCCUGUGACAGACAGAAUGAGGACAGGAAUGGUGCCUGUGCCUACGCACACUGCCAGGUUUACACAACCUGGAUUCCUAGCUACCCACACAGACCUACCGUCGUUACAGCCUUUGCUUGUGCCAGGAGAGUUAGCGAUGACUUUGGGAGCCUGUGACCCGUCUUCACAGCUCUUUCUAGCUGAGAUGAGGGAACUUACAGAGAACACUGAGGUAUUUUGCUUUCCCAAGCCCGGAGCUGGUGUGCGCACAGAUGCAUCUUUAUACGGAGGCUUCCAAUCGCCUGGCGGCACAGGAUGCUAUCAACAGCCCGUAGCUGACAGAGGUCAUGGUGUCACAAGGAGCUGUUCUUCGGCUGUCCUGAGGACCACUCCCGGUAGUCCCAGUUCUGACACGUGACUCAGAUCUACACAAACCACACAAGCUUGAGAAGGACACAGGAAUGCCACGCCCCUCUCACUUCCAAGGACAGCAUGGGAACUAGAGUGUCAGCUUGGUCAACAAGAUUCCUUUCUGCGCAAAAGUUACACAGGAACUCCGAAUCCCAAGUUCACGCUGGCUCCAGAGCAGUAAGAGAGAUCUGCCUAAGCCAUGCACGGUAUGUAUUUACUACAGCAGCCUGAGCUGAUGAUGUGGUCAGAGCAGGUGACUACCUUUAAGUGUCACCCCAGCUUGUCUAUCUGUAACUUCUGUCCUGAGUGUGAUGUAUCUGUGAGCAUACUAAUGUCAUCUUCUUGAGAGCCGCUAUAGCACACAUGUACCCCAGCUCAAGAUAUAGUCUUGAGCUCCUCCGCCGAUUGUGGAUGCUAUACAGGAAGGCGUUCAGCCUGCAGCUCUGGCCCCAGACACACCACCUUGGUGGAGUGAGGCCACUCCAGGAAUAUCUGGUCAUCUGGUCCAUGAAAUAAACUUCAAAAGAGAAAAUCAAGUGGUUUCACG